GUUUGAGGCUUAAGGUUAGAGCUAUGAGACACAGAGGACCUGGAGCUGCAGCUGGAAUGGAGCUAGAAAGGAGAUCUUAAAAAAAAAGGGUCAGUGCUAGAACUGGGGAAGAGAGAGCCCUGGAGCUCCAGCUGAAGUUGUAUCUGUAU